GAUGAACGCUCGCGGCGCGCCUAAUACACGUAAGUCGAGCGAACGGACGAGCCGAUUGCUUCUCUGAAGCUAGCGGCGGCAGGGCGAGUAACAAGUCAAUAACCCACCUAUACAAAUACGAUUACUUCGAGAAACCUGAGCUAAAACCGGAUCAUACUUUCAACCGCAUGGUCCAAGAAUGAUAGCCGGUCCUGCUGUCCCAUAUAGAUGGAUCCGCGCUGCACUAGCUAGUGGGUAACGUAACGGCUUACCAAGGCAACGAUGCAUAGCCGACCGGAGAGGGUGACCGGCCACACGGGAACGGGGACACGGUCCAGACCCCUACGGGAGGCAGCAGUAGGGAAUUUUCCGCAAUGGGCUAAAGCUUGACGGAGCCACGGCGCGUGAGGGAUGAGGGUCUUCGGAUCGUAAAACUCUGUUAGUAGGGAAGAACAUAUGUGUAAGUAACUUUGCACAUCUUGACGGUACCUUAGCAGAAGGCCACGGCUGACUUGGUG
rnacentral:rRNA from 1 species